CAUAAGUAACGAUAAAGCGGGUGAAAAGCCCGCUCGCCGGAAGACCAAGGGUUCCUGUCCAACGUUAAUCGGGGCAGGGUGAGUCGACCCCUAAGGCGAGGCCGAAAGGCGUAGUCGAUGGGAAACAGGUUAAUAUUCCUGUACUUGGUGUUACUGCGAAGGGGGGACGGAGAAGGCUAUGUUGGCCGGGCGACGGUUGUCCCGGUUUAAGCGUGUAGGCUGGUUUUCCAGGCAAAUCCGGAAAAUCAAGGCUGAGGCGUGAUGACGAGGCACUACGGUGCUGAAGCAACAAAUGCCCUGCUUCCAGGAAAAGCCUCUAAGCAUCAGGUAACAUCAAAUCGUACCCCAAACCGACACAGGUGGUCAGGUAGAGAAUACCAAGGCGCUUGAGAGAACUCGGGUGAAGGAACUAGGCAAAAUGGUGCCGUAACUUCGGGAGAAGGCACGCUGAUAUGUAGGUGAAGUCCCUUGCGGAUGGAGCUGAAAUCAGUCGAAGAUACCAGCUGGCUGCAACUGUUUAUUAAAAACACAGCACUGUGCAAACACGAAAGUGGACGUAUACGGUGUGACGCCUGCCCGGUGCCGGAAGGUUAAUUGAUGGGGUCAGCGCAAGCGAAGCUCUUGAUCGAAGCCCCGGUAAACGGCGGCCGUAACUAUAACGGUCCUAAGGUAGCGAAAUUCCUUGUCGGGUAAGUUCCGACCUGCACGAAUGGCGUAAUGAUGGCCAGGCUGUCUCCACCCGAGACUCAGUGAAAUUGAACUCGCUGUGAAGAUGCAGUGUACCCGCGGCAAGACGGAAAGACCCCGUGAACCUUUACUAUAGCUUGACACUGAACAUUGAGCCUUGAUGUGUAGGAUAGGUGGGAGGCUUUGAAGUGUGGACGCCAGUCUGCAUGGAGCCGGCCUUGAAAUACCACCCUUUAAUGUUUGAUGUUCUAACGUGGACCCGUGAUCCGGGUUGCGGACAGUGUCUGGUGGGUAGUUUGACUGGGGCGGUCUCCUCCUAAAGAGUAACGGAGGAGCACGAAGGUUGGCUAAUCCUGGUCGGACAUCAGGAGGUUAGUGCAAUGGCAUAAGCCAGCUUGACUGCGAGCGUGACGGCGCGAGCAGGUGCGAAAGCAGGUCAUAGUGAUCCGGUGGUUCUGAAUGGAAGGGCCAUCGCUCAACGGAUAAAAGGUACUCCGGGGAUAACAGGCUGAUACCGCCCAAGAGUUCAUAUCGACGGCGGUGUUUGGCACCUCGAUGUCGGCUCAUCACAUCCUGGGGCUGAAGUAGGUCCCAAGGGUAUGGCUGUUCGCCAUUUAAAGUGGUACGCGAGCUGGGUUUAGAACGUCGUGAGACAGUUCGGUCCCUAUCUGCCGUGGGCGCUGGAGAACUGAGGGGGGCUGCUCCUAGUACGAGAGGACCGGAGUGGACGCAUCACUGGUGUUCGGGUUGUCAUGCCAAUGGCACUGCCCGGUAGCUAAAUGCGGAAGAGAUAAGUGCUGAAAGCAUCUAAGCACGAAACUUGCCCCGAGAUGAGUUCUCCCUGACCCUUUAAGGGUCCUGAAGGAACGUUGAAGACGACGACGUUGAUAGGCCGGGUGUGUAAGCGCAGCGAUGCGUUGAGCUAACCGGUACUAAUGAACCGUGAGG
rnacentral:rRNA from 1 species